AUUCAUCCUGCCGCCGUAUCGACCCGCGGCCGACCCCGCGCGGCCAGGCGCCCCCGCCCGCUGCCCUCUCCUUUCCCAGCCCGGCCUCCCCCGCGGGGGCUGUCACCGAGCGCCUGGCACGGCCGGGCCAUGCCCCGGGGAAGGAGGGACCAGGGCCGGGGGCGGGAGCCAGCCCUUGUGCUCGCAGCCCUGGGUUCGGAGCCCAGCUGCCCGGGAAGGUUUCCAGAUCUCCCUGAGCCUCAGUUUCCCCAUCUGUAAACUGGGUGGUGGUGGCUUCGUCCCCCGCUUUGAGAGGACAGCAGGAGAGGCGUCCUGAGAAUGCACAUUUGCGAGCGGGUGAAAAUUUCUGUGAAUGUUUAUAAGCACAUGGAACGGGCAUCUUUGUGGCUGCGGGAGUUGCACGGCUCUCCCGGGCAGUGUCCAUCACACUCAUGGCUUCCUAGACUUCCAUCUCCGGUCUAAUCACCUUCCGAACGCCAGAACCAUCACGUCUGCUGCCCUUGAACACCUCCCCUAGGUGUCCCUGUGGGCCACCCAGGUUCCCUCCACCCCAGUCUUCCCCACCUGCUUCUCCUUCAUGCUUCCCUCUCAGGGAGUUUGAGACCAGGCUGACCAACAUGGAGAAACCCCGACUCUACUAGAAAUACAAAAUCAGCUGGGUGUGGUGGCGCAUGCCUGUAAUCCCAGCUACUCGGGAGGCUGAGGCAGAAUUGCUUGAGCCUGGGAGGCGGAGGUUGCAGUGAGCCGAGAUUGCACCAUUGCACUCCAGCCUGGGCAACAAGAGCAAAACUCCGUCUCAAAAAAAAAAAAAAAAAAAAAGUAAAAGUAAAAGAAAGUCAAUCACCAAUAAUGCUGGAAUAUGUCAACUUUUCUCCCACCUCUUGCCACUGAUCCAGACCCCAUUCCCUCUGCCCGGGUGAUCCCUUAUAGCUACCCAGGGCUGCGGCUUUGCUCCAUUCAAGCCAUUUUCCACGCAGCAGCAGCCAGGGCCGUCUUUCCAGAGUGUAUUAGGUUGGUGCAAAAGUAACUGUGGUUUUUGCAAUUAAAAGUAAUUGUAGGCCAGGCACAGCGGCUCAUGCCUGUAAUCGCAGCACUUUGGGAGGCUAAGACAGUUGGAUCACUUGAGGUCAGGAGUUCGAGACCCACCUGGCCAACAUAGUGAAACCUGGUCUCCACUAAAAAUACAAAAAUUAGCUGGGCAUGGUGGCACACGCCUGUAAUCCCAGCUCCUGGGGGGGUGGGGGGGCAGGGCUGAGGCAGGAGAGUCGCUUGAACCCAGGAGACGACAGCUGCAGUGAGCUGAGAUCACGCCACUGCACUCCAGCCUAGGCGACAGAGUGACUCUGUCUCAAAAAAAAAAAAAAAAAAGGAAUUGCAAAAACCGCAAUUACUUAAUAGAUCUGACCAAGACUCUCCCCAGGUUCAAACCCCGGCUUCAAACCUUUUGCUCCUUAUAGUCUUUUUUUAAAACUCUUAUCUGUGGCUCAUUGUGUCUCAAGACAGCCAAGCAAACCGAACUGCUAGGAAUUUUCCCAAUGGAACAUUCUCUCUGCAAGUCCUUUGCUCUUGCGGUUGCUCCUCCAGGAGCUCCUGCCUCCCUCUUCUCUUCCCUUCCUUGAGGCUCAGCAUGGGAGAGGCCCUGCUGCAGGUGCCCUCUGACCUCUCAGGUAGGGGAGGGGGCCUCUGUCCUCUGCAAACCUGCGCUGAGUGCUCUGGAUGGUUCCGUCCCUUGGAUUGGGCCUCCCCAAGGGCAAGACCCUGCCUGGUUCACCCUGGCCGCUCAUGCAGAGGCCUGCCUAACAUAGCUGCUGAAUGAAUGAAUGAAUGAAUUGAAUUGAAUAAUGGACAAAGCCCAACAGGGAGGGUUAGCAUAAAGGGGAGACAGG
rnacentral:lncRNA from 1 species